GGCCCGGCUCCGGGGAGACCCAGGCCCCGCCGAGACCGGGUCACGUGACCGAAGUGUUGGCGGCUCGCCUGGGCUCUCUGGCCGUUUGGUCUUCCCGGCGUCUCGUUUUCUCAGCGUCUCUCACGCCCGCCUGACAGUAGCUCUUUGCUGGGAGCUGAGUUUAGUGGCGCGUGGGGGGACUUUCGGUAUGUGGUAGGCCCGGGGACCUCUCGGCCACAGCCAGUUGUGCCUCUCACCCCCUUCUCUACGAAUACAACUCUGCCUUUUCCCUCGCAUCCGGAAGGUACCUGGAAGAGUACAGGAGGUGUCCUCAAGGAAAGAUCGGAGGGGACUGAGCCUAGCGUGGAUUUUAGACCCCAGACAAAGGAAGGGCCGAGCCAGACAAAGGGAGUGCCUAAGAUAGGCUGCGUGCCUGCAGAAGCCUCUGCCACAUUUUGUUUUAUUUUCCAGUACAGUUUGAUACUUUUUACAAGGAUAUGAGAGAAACCCACAAGGACAUAAAAUUCUAAACGAGAUGAAUAAACGCUGAAACGAAAGGCCUAAUCUCUUUCCCUACCUGAAGCUGAGUGAGGUGAAACAGCCCAGGAAAUCUAGGCAAGGGCAGGGUCAUGAUGAAAGACAUCUCCGUAAUCCUUGCGCCAUCUGAGGACAAAGUAGGGCACCUCUUUUAAGAGUGGAGCAGCGGAGGAGGGAGGAGCUGAAGACCUCGGUUCCCCACUUCCUGGCCAGGCUGAUAAACAGGUGGACAACCUCCCACCACUUGGGAGUCUUAGUUUCCCCACUUGCCAAAUGGGUAUAAAAAUAGUUUGCUAGGUUAGAGAUCAUCAAGUUAAGCAUUACCAGGCCUAACUUAAAUUGUUCUUUAAAAACUUGGCUUUUACCGGCAGAGGCUCAAGGCCAUCCUUUCACUGUAUUCAGCCACACCCUAAGCCAAUAUUUACUGAAUUUAAUCAACGAGGCCUCUAAUCCCCAAGGACAUCCCAGCCCCGCCCUGAGGGGCUUUUUGGCUCCAGUUGUGACAGGUCAAUUUUUGCUCCAGCCUGGAAGAAGGGGACAGGUUUCUCAGCUACUUUCGCGUUAGCGGUCCGUCCCCCUCCGUUCAUUCAUGAAAAACAGACCGAACCCGGUUAGAGAGACACGUGCAGAAAGCCGCCGCCUGCGCAUGCGCAAUGGCCUCCCCUCACACACCCUGAGGCCCUAGAACUACAAAUCCCAUCUCACCGUGCGCCCGCGUCACCGCGCUCACAGACUCAGGCUGUGACUCAAAACCCGGGGGUCUGGAAACCCCCAGAGCGGUCCUUCGCAAGCCUCCGGGGAGAGGAGUCAGCCAGAAGAGAGUGACCCCUGCUGUCUUUGUGAUCCACGACUUUCCCCAGGUCAGGACUGGUGAAUGCAGUGAAGGGGGAUGCUGGGACUCCAUCAGCUCCUCCUGCCUCCUGACACUCCAGAAAAGAGGCUGAGCUGCUGCAGGGGCGACCUACUUCUCCCACUUGUGUUUCUUUUUAAAGAUCCAGCGGCUGCUGGUGCCUUUGAGGGAGGAGGUCCCAGGCGGCCACCAUGGUCCUGGUAAAGAAAUGGGAACCAGAACUCUGGGAUGGGCAGGGGUGCCGAGCAGCUCAGCAUUCCUGCAUGGGAAAGCCUGAGAGUUGCCCAAGAGGAAAGUCACAGCCAUUCCCAUUUUAUAGUUGAGGGAACGCCUCGGUUGGCAGCAAACAAUGGAACAAGAUCAUAUAUAUGGAUCCAAGUCACAGAGCAGCAUCCUUGCCCACCAAAGGACACGGUCUCCCCUAUACCUAACCUGGCCUCUUUAAGGGUGCCCCUCAAUGAAGAAUGAAAAAAAAAAAGUGACAAGUACUGAACUCCCACUCACAAAGAAUCACUCAGCCUCCACUUCUGGUUCUUACACCAAGCCAGGAACCCAGGUCCUGAUACUCUUCCUUCCUCCAACAUAAGUAUCGCUCCAGACCUCCCCCUGCUCCUCCACCUUCUCCUACUGACUGAGCACUUUCUGUGCCCAUGGGCUGCAACAGGCUUUAGACAUCAUUUCAUCUCUGCUCCUCAGCCAGGCAUCAAGGAACCUGUGCUGCUGGGAUUAUCCCCACUCACUUUUAACAAAUGAAGAAAAUGAGGAUUGGAGAGCUUAGAUCACUUGCCCCAAAUCACACUACUAGGUCUAAAACUUGACCACCAGUCUGUUACUCUCAAUUCAACACUUUUCUCCACACCACAGGGACUUGAUCUCUGAAUAAAUUGAUAUCUACGCUGUGAA